GUCGGCGACCGGCGCACGGGUGAGUAACGCGUAUCCAACCUUCCCCUUAGUAGGGCAUAGCCCGGCGAAAGUCGGAUUAACACCCUAUGUUAUCCGAAGAGGACAUCUGAAUUGGAUUAAAGGUUUACCGCUAAGGGAUGGGGAUGCGUCUGAUUAGGUAGUAGGCGGGGUAACGGCCCACCUAGCCGACGAUCAGUAGGGUUCUGAGAGGAAGGUCCCCCACAUUGGAACUGAGACACGGUCCAAACUCCUACGGGAGGCAGCAGUGAGGAAUAUUGGUCAAUGGGCGAGAGCCUGAACCAGCCAAGUAGCGUGCAGGAUGACGGCCCUAUGGGUUGUAAACUGCUUUUAUACGGGAAUAAAGUGAGGGACGUGUCCCUUUUUGUAUGUACCUUAUGAAUAAGGAUCGGCUAACUCCGUGCCAGCCGCUGC
rnacentral:rRNA from 1 species